rnacentral:rRNA from 1 species
UGAGUAACCUGCCCUUAACUCUGGGAUAAGCCUGGGAAACUGGGUCUAAUACCGGAUAUGACUCCUCAUCGCAUGGUGGGGGGUGGAAAGCUUUAUUGUGGUUUUGGAUGGACUCGCGGCCUAUCAGCUUGUUGGUGAGGUAAUGGCUCACCAAGGCGACGACGGGUAGCCGGCUGAGAGGGUGACCGGCCACACUGGGACUGAGACACGGCCCAGACUCCGUACGGGAGGCAG